GAAGCCGGUGCCUGGAAAUGUGAAACUGCGUCGUUUGGAGCUUUCUUUGUUACCCACCAUUUCCUUCCGUGUGUAAUGCAUCUCACAUUCACAGAACUUUGUUUUGGAAGCAGACUCAGGAAAGGAAGAUGGAAGUUAACAGGAAGUUUAUUGACAACAGUGAGCGGUACAGAAAAAAGCAGGUGAGAGGACUGAUGGAUGAUACGAUGGGUGACAAGACAGAUACAAUGGAGAAGGAACAAGGACAAAGCUGGGAGAUUGCUGGAUGAGCAGGAUGAAAUUACCUAGAAGCCUAUGAAGGAGUGAGGCAGCUAUCAAAUUUCAUCAAAAAUAUCUUAAUUUGUGUUCAGAAGAUGAACGAAAGUCUGAUGGGGUUGUAACAACAUGAGUACAAGAGAGAGUGUGAAACCAUCAGCUGUUUGCUAGUCUGCUAAAAAGACCUGUCCAGUCUAUACCAACAUGAAAAAAAAAAAGAAUUCUUGGACUGAAAGAAACUCCUGCGUCCAUUUGGGCUGAAGGUCAAGACAGAAC